ACGUUGCCGACCCUAACACUCCGCACCCUCGUUGAGCUCUGGCAACCUUACUCACCGGCAGGAACACAACACUACGAGUAGGGUCUAGUGUUAUUUGGCUGCGGUUUUCAGUAAGGUGGAGGUACUUCCACAGUCGCGCUCUGCUCUAGAUCUGGAAUGACAUCCGCUGUGCUGUGCCCUACCACACAAAGCGAGAUGACAUUCACAAUCUAGAGCAGAGCCCAACUGGGGAAGUACCUCCACCUUACAGAAAGCCGCAGCCAAAUAACACUAGACCCUGCUCAUAGUGUUGUGUUCCUGCCGGUGAGUAAGGUUGCCAGAGCUCGAGGGAGAGGAGUGUUAGGGUCGGCAACGCGCAUGUAACUCCUCUGGAGUUGCAGGCGUACAUAGGCUACGGAGACUGCUUAACAUCAGGCGGGCCGUAUGCUUGUUUGCCACCGACGUAGUUUAAAAAAAAAGUGCACACUUCUCACUCACUACAUACAAAAUCCAAUCUGUAAUGACGACACAAAUAAAU